UGAACAAUUUUGGCAGAAUAAACUCGAACGAGCCUAUACAAAAAUCUGAAUGUUUAGGCUUAUAUAGAGGUAUAUCUUCUUAGCAUGGUCAAUGCAUUUUUAUAUUUUAAACUGGUAGUCAACGUUUAUGUCAUGUAUAAAAUGGCCACAUGUGAAGUUGAUGUAUAAAAUGACCACAAUUUGAAAGUUAAAUAUUAAAUGACAAUUUCCCUGUUUCGAUUAUAGUAAAAUGACGUUGUAUUGAAAAGUAACGGAAACUAGUUAACGGCCGUUAUCGUUAGAUAACAUCGUAUGGAUUUUGGCCUGAUCAACGAUUAAAUUUGUGUGAAAUGGCCAGUUAACAAUUUUUAUACGUAUUAAAUUACCAUAUAAGAAGUUCACGUAGACAUUCAAGUAU
rnacentral:sRNA from 1 species